GCUGCACCCCCUCACCCCAGGCAGGAACCCACCGGACCCACUCACCCCGAGCAGGGCACCCUAAAAGCUCCCAGACCCCCACAGAGGAGCCUGGCACAGCUCCCUAUCCCCUCGGGCAGCCUCCCUUCACAGCCCUCCUCCGGCCGCCCCCAGCCCAGGCUCUCACGAUGCUACUUUUGACAUAGAAUCAAUAAAUUCGAAGUCAAAACCUGGCCUUGUCCUCCUAAGUGCAGCAUGCCGAGGCUCUAUGGAGAGAGGAGAACUGAUAGAUGCAGGAACUUGAAGGAGACAGAGGGAAAGUUAUAGCCGGUUUUCCCCUGGGUUUCUGAAUUGGUAUUUUGUUUUGAAAAUCUAGAUAUUUUUACCCUCCUGAGAGCUGCUGCUUUAGGAAAAGCCUUGUUUUCAUCCAAAUGUCUCUAAUAACGAGGCUACAGAACUUACACUUGUACUGGAUUGUAAAGACAACUGAAUAAAUUUAAUACAUUUCAUGACUCAUUUGCCAGCACUUCUGAGAUACCUGAAUCUACAUGCUCCAUCCUUUGCUAUUAAACAAAAAAUAGAGAGAUUGAGUAACCUACAAGGAAGAUUUAUUCAAGGUUUAAUCCAAGAAAGGGAUCCAAGACAAGGAAGUAAGUGGAGUACUGUUGUUUUAUAAUCCAGGAAGAAAAUAGGGAUCAAGAGCCCAGCCUUGCCAAUGAGUGAAAUUAGUCAAAAGAAGAUUCAAAAGUAGAAGGCCUGUAGUUGUAGAGAAUCACAUGUUCUGCACUGCACCACUGAAAAGUCAAGGCAGAAGCGGGAGAUCAGCUGGCAGCUCUGUUGGUUCAUGGAGCGAGUUAAAAGGCUCAGCAAACAAAACAUAAAAUUAUGUAAAAAUAGAGCCAGCUAGCUUGAGAUUGGACUUUGUCUCUUAAUUAACAGCUCUCUCUGAAUCACAGCACUGGGCUCUGUCAACAAGACUAAAAUGCAGGGGGUGUUCAGACAGGCACCCAGCAACAGUAGCUCACACCUCCCAUCCAGCCCAUGUCAUUGGCAGCUUGAAAUCAAAUGCAUUUUCUGAAAUGAAUUACAAGUCUGCUGCUUGACCUCAGAUCUUCCCGUGACAGUGUUUGUGGUUUCAUAAUCCUGUUUUCCUGGUGGUUUUUAAAUGUUUUUCUUGCCCUUUUUCACUGGGUGAAAACGCAGGGUAGGCAGGGGAGAGGACAGGG